rnacentral:rRNA from 1 species
UACGUAGGGACCAAGCGUUGUUCGGAUUUACUGGGCGUAAAGGGGCGCGUAGGCGGCGUGGUAAGUCACUUGUGAAAUCUCUGAGCUUAACUCAGAACGGUCAAGUGAUACUGCUGUGCUAGAGUGCGGAAGGGGCAAUCGGAAUUCUUGGUGUAGCGGUGAAAUGCGUAGAUAUCAAGAGGAACACCUGAGGUGAAAGACGGGUUGCUGGGCUGAUACUGACGCUGAGGCGCGAAAGCUAGGGUAGCAAACGGG